CUUGUGAGCAUCGUAGAUUUGCAUGUUUCGCUCUCUGAUCGGAUUGUCUGAAUUCACUAGUUGAGUGUCAAUCACAGAAGAAAAAAAACUGAUGAAAAUAAAUUUUGAGAAUAUGUGAAUCCCUCGUCCGUUUCCCUGACCCCUGGCAAUGACAUAGACUGUGUAUAGGGCAAAGAUUUCAGCUUCGCCUGUUCCACUGAUAUGGAUUCAGCUAACAAAUAUGGAAACUCCAAUGUUCACACCAGUCUCAUACUUUUAAAUCCAUGACGGGAAGAGUGAACUUGCACACUUGGGAAAGGGUUGGGAAUCGGGACCUCAGUCUCAGGCACCUUAUUACCAGUUUGAUAUUUUGUUAUUGAUCCAAGUGGAUGAGGACAUGAUUGGGACAUAUGAAGAGAGACUGGAGGCUGCAGUAAUGUUGAGAUGCCAGUAGGAGGAGCUCUAGUCUAGAACACUGGAACCUUCAGUAGCACUUUGAUGGAGAUGAUGAGGAGUGAUGGGUCACAUCUUGUGAGGAAACACAUUAAGAAACCAUAUAGAACAGUCAACACUUUGUUGUGGAUCUGUAUUUAAAGAAGACUACAUUGAAAAUGGGCUGCAUUUAGCCCCUUUAAAACAUGUAGGCCCACUCCUCAAAUUAAGAAAUGUAAAUAGCUAUGCAGUCUUUAGCAGUACAUCCAGUACAUCCCUUUCUGACAUGCUGUUGAUGCAUGUGAUUGUCUUAAAUCCCUGACUAGGCUACUUUCACAAUGUGUCAGUCACUAAAAUCACAAUUCUUGUUUCUAUGCACAGCUACGACAGUAAGUUGACUCACUGUACAAGACCUCUCCCCCUUCACUCUACUGCAGGGUGGGAGAUGCAACAAUGGCCUUGAGAACAGCAGGAAGUGUGUUGGUGGUCUUUCUCUGGUCUGUAGCAGUGUUACUGGGUCAGGAUGGCAGGAGUGUGAAGUACAUCACUCAGAGUAUCUGUACCUUGAAGGGGUCAACAGUGGAGCUGUCCUGCUCUUACACAUAUCCCAGUGGUACAGUCACAACAACCUUCUGUUUCACUAGAAAUGAUGCUGAGGGGAAUCCUGUGACUCUGAGUGAUGAACCAGACUACACAGGUCAUGUGACGUACUGUAGCAACAAGAAGAAUGGCCACACCCUGACAAUCAGAGAUCUGAGAGAGUGUGACUCAGCUAUGUGCAAAGUGUCCAUCCUGACCCUAAAUGGGACACACACACCACUGACAAUGAGGAUCAGACACUCUGGCAUGACACGUUCACAUCUCUUCAGAGAGAUGCUCAGCACUCUGUGUAUCAGACCAUCCAGGGAAGAGAACCACCACAGAACCUGGACUGAAGAGAACCACCACAGAACCUGGACUGAAGAGAACCACCACAGAACCUGGACUGAAGAGAACCACCACAGAACCUGGACUGAAGAGAACCACCACAGAACCUGGACUGAAGAGAACCACCACAGAACAUGGACUAAAGAGAACCACCACAGAACAUGGACUAAAGAGCUAUGGCCCCAAACCAAAGCCUGACCUUACACCUCUAUUCUCUUGCUAAUAUAUUGUUAUAAUAUCUUGAAGUUUCACCCAAAUUAUAAAAUGACACAUUGGUUUCCCUUCCCUUUUAGCAGUCUAUGAACAUGGUGUGACAUCAGUCCCUGCUUUGGUUUAGUUUCCCCUGACACUGUUUCCACUUGCUAACGUUUUAGCAUUCGUGGCACAAAUCCCAUUCGUCAUGUGACUGUUAAGAGGCAUUUCUCGCACAUCAUUUCAAAAUCAAUCAAAAGUUUUAAAAAAUGCGUUGUGAAGCUUAACAAAGUCACUUCCAGAUGAUUUGAACAUGAUGAGAGAAUGUUAAUAUGUGAAAUAUUAAUAUCAGUCCCGUGACUUGAAUGGGAUUUUUGUAAAUGUGGGAGUGUUCGACAUUGCAGCCGACUUUAUAGGCAAGUCGAGAUCUACAAAUCACCUUGCAUGAUGAAUAACUACUCAAUAUUAUUUAUAGAUCAUUCAGUCAGUCACAAUGUACCCAUGAUACAUCAGUUUUGAUGCUCUCGAACACUGUCUGUGUGACUGCUGAAGGAAGCCUUCUCUGCAUAAGCUUCUUGGUCCCUGACAUAGAGUUGGAUAGAAGGUACAUCUUGACAUCUUUGUCAUGAUGUCUUCUGUGACAGAAUGAGCAGCACCAUUGAGGGCUAUUUCCAUAUUAAAGUAGUUAAUAUCUUCAACUUCCAUAAGUUUAAUAACAGUCUUUAUACCAACUGAAAUGGUGUAUUCAAUGGCUUAGCCAGGCUAAAACAGGCUUUGAAGCAAGUACGCCCUCUACUCAACUCUAUUGUCCCUGACUGCUUCAAUGUUGUGUCAACCACAGACUUCAAACCUCACACUCAGUGUCUAUUUAUAUAGACUUCCAGUAAGUUAACUUACAACACAUCUCCCCUUCACUCUGUAAGUAUGCUGGACUAUAUCUUAAAAUAUGUUUAUUUUAUCAUUUGUUUGUUUCCAUGAACUUCUGUAUCCUGUUAUGUGCAUGGUGAUGCUAUUGUAAUGUAUGUUUAGUUUUUCUGUUAUGUACAGUAUACUCUGUAGAUGUAUUUCUGCCUAGUAAUCUGAUACAGUAUUGUACAUGGGGUUACACAUAUAAUAUUUUUGCAUGGUAUUUUAAGGACUCUCAAAGCAAUAGAUUGUUGUGGAGACUUGUUUGAAAAUGACCUAAAGUAAGAUUGAGAGUAACAGUGAUUAGGUGUAUGCUUCGUAAGAGCUUUAGGAGUAAUAUUAACAUGAGACACAGUGAUGGUGGGUUGUGUUUAGGAGUAGUAUUAACAUGAGACACAGUGAUGGUGGGUUGUGUUUAGGAG
ensembl:lncRNA